rnacentral:lncRNA from 1 species
GAGGCAUUUGUGAAAGAGAUAUUUUCUUCUCUCCAUCCCUGCUACAGAGCACAGUAUCUGGCAUUUAAAAUCAUAAAGUCUUCUGGGCUCUGCUUGGGAGGGCAGACUGGGCAGGAGAUGCUGUGGACCCUGCCCCUGGGGAGAGGCCUGGCUGAUGCCUCCUUAGCUAAAGUUUGGAACAGACUCAUUGCCAGCAAAAUGGGCUCAAUGGCUGAGGUGAGGUCCCCUUCCCAGGGGGCCUCAUAACCCAAUUCAUACUACUCUCCCC